rnacentral:ribozyme from 1 species
AAAGAAAGAAAGAAAAAAAGAAAGAAAGAAAAACUGAAGACAUAAACCAAAGUGGGAUGGGCUCUCACUGUCUUCUCAUC